AAACCAGCACCUCAAGUGGUCAGGAUGAUUAUUGGGCCUAAAGCAUCCGUAGCCGGCCCUGUAAGUUUUCGGUUAAAUCUGUACGCUCAACGUACAGGCUGCUGGGAAUACUGCAGGGCUAGGGAGUGGGAGAGAUAGACGGUACUCGGGAGGAAGUGGUAAAAUGCUUUGAUCUCUCGAUGACCACCUGUGGCGAAGGCGGUCUAUCAGAACACGUCCGACGGUGAGGGAUGAAAGCUGGGGGAGCAAACCGGAUUAGAAACCCCGGUAGUCC
rnacentral:rRNA from 1 species